GCCGGUGUCUGUGCAUAUGGAUGGCUUUGGACUCACGGACUCGAUGCAGACAGUGUUAGCACUUUAAUUAACUGAGGAGUCCUGUUUGAGUAACCCUUAGGCUCCUGAGCUUCAGGCUGUCAACACAUCCAGUCUGUAAAACAAAAUAUUCUUGGGUUUUUCCAAGUGUCUAUCAACUGUGCUGCCCAGACUUUUCCAAGUAAAGCUUCUCCCCCAGUGAGUAUUGUUGCAGAGACAAUUCUAAGUGAGAAGAGGGGACUUAAAUUUAGGCAGCACAGUAGGAUACAGUGCUUUUUUUCAAAUCUGGAGUUGUGAAAUCAAUUGAAUACAGCAUGAUCAGCCCAGAAUGGAACAGAACAGACUGGAAAAGAAUAGAAAGCAUCAUGUGGCACGUCAUAAGAAUGUAGUAUGGUACAUUGUAACACUCAACAAAUAUUGUUCAACUUGAAUGCAUUAAUGGAUGAAUGAAUAAACCAGGAUACUCUUGGUUCUUCUCUCACAGGGCAAGCAGGAAGUUCUGGGAAGAUAAACUUCUGGAAGCAGCCAACAGACAAUGAUAGAUGAGCAGCUGGUGGGUCAAUACCUCUGCUGUCCCCCUCCUUGGCUGAGAAUCAUCUUACCAAGAUCCACCAAAAAGAAACCAAAACUGAAGAACAGAAAACUGUUGUAAUUUUGGUUGGAAUUUUU